AUCCAUUUGUAGAUAUAUGUAAAAUGACAUAAAAUAAGAGCUACAUGACACUUCGGUAGGAAAAUGAAAUAUCACAAACCGCUUGGUUUGAUACAAUGGCCGAUAUAGAAACAAUAUUUAGAUAUUCUCUUUAUCCCGCAAAAAAAAUCGAUAAAUGAUUUUAUUGUGUCAGUAAGCAUUGUGGCAACGCACUUUGAAAAAAAAUAUGGCACUUUGAUUUUUUUUCCAUUUGAUUGAUUACAGGAAAAAGGCUCCUACCCCCUCAUUUUCCCCUCCAAAACAUAUGAUAUUCAGCAACUUAGAGUAAAUGUAUACUAUCGGAAAAAAAUACGCUUUGUUGUAAAUUAAGUACAGUUAUAUUGAAAAAAAACCGAGCUAGUCAAACAAUAUUGUAUCAAUAACGUAUCCUGUUUUAGCUCACCUGAACCGAAGGUUUCAGUGAGCUUUUCUGAUCACCUGUAGUCGGUUAUCUCUCUUUCUCUCUCUCUCUCUCUGUGUGCGUGCUUGUGUAUGUGUGUGUGCGUGCGUUGGUUCGUGAGAGAGAGAGCGAGAGAGAGAGAUUGUUAGCACAACGCACGACGAAGGACGACAACCAAUUGCAAAAGGUCACCAUAUAAUAAAUACAUUAUUUUCAUUUCAGUCUCGAACGUCAAAAAUACUACAAACACCAGCAAAAGGCAAAAUCCUAUCCAAACAGGUAUCUGUCCCUCUUUAUAAUAGACGGAAUGGAUCAGAGUAAGACUCAACUCCCGCACUUUGUGCAUGCCAUUAAAUUCACCUCCGCCAUGUGGAGGUUGCGUGUGCGAUUGGUAGGGGUGAUAGUACAUGGGAUUGGGGUAUACGCCUUUUUCGAUUUAUUUGAAUACAGCCAUUCCACCAAUCUGACAUUAUCUGUUUUGCUGAGUGUCAUUUACAUGUCGAGGGAGUCUCCUCCAGAUGUCCUCUAUCUCCAAAUGGACAACUGCGCGAGGGAGAACAAGAAUAGGGAAUGAUUUGCAACAAUUUUUUACCUCAAAAAUUCAUCUCAGUGUUCCAUAUUUUUAAAAGUUGUUUUUUUCUUAGUUUUCUUGUGUUUAGGAAAAUCAAUAUUUCCUUCUUGAUGGUGGGCCAUACCCAGAUGGUGGGCCAUACCCAGAUGGUGGGCCAUACCCACGAGGACAUUGAUCAGGUGUUUCAAAAUUCAGCCACUGGUUGUGUAAACAUGCAGCAAUGACCCUGGAAAAGCUGAUGGAGGGAUUUGAGAAAUGUUAUACUCCAACACCAGCAAGCAUACGGACCUCCACGGUGUUCAACAUCACCGAGUGGCUUAUUCCACAUCUUAACACCAUCAAAAACCACUCCAAGCCACAUAUUUUUAAAAUCGCAAAAGAUGACAAUGGCAGGGCUAAAAAUUUUUGGAAAGAGUGGUCUACAGACAAAACUCUGAAAGCUACUGGGGAAUAUCUUCUGAAGACGCAGGUAGAGGACUCGCCAGACGUCGUAGAGAGGGACUACACGGAGAUCCAGAAAUCCUCGACUCCAAAGCAGGUCAUUAUAGGAAAGGCCUGCGGACCCAGAAACUCGACACAAGAGAUCCAGGUAGACGAUUUUGUUCUGGUGGACAUUCCAAAGUAUGCAGGAGAUUGGCUUCAAGUCUGCUGCAUUCUGUCUAUUGAUUGUCAACAUGUGACUGUGAGGUGGUACAAGGGAUCCAAGACGACUGCUUGGACUCCGUGUACUAGGCGUGUCAAGGACGCCCGAGGGAACGCGGAUCCCAAACGCUCAAAGGACUCGGAAGCAGGGGCGACAACACCCUUUGUUUACUUACUGAGGCGCGCAAUUCAACUAGUCUAA
rnacentral:sRNA from 1 species